GAUGAAGAACGUAGCGAAAUGCGAUAACUAAUGUGAAUUGCAGAAUUCCGUGAAUCAUCGAGUCUUUGAACGCACAUUGCGCCCCCUGGUAUUCCGGGGGGCAUGCCUGUCCGAGCGUCAUUACAACCCUCAAGCCCGGCUUGUGUAAUGGGCGGCCGUCUCUCCCCCCGGGGGGAGACGCCCCCGAAACUCAGUGGGGAUGUCGCGAUACCGAAGCCUCAGCUAAUGGGUAAACCACAGCUGCAAUGGCUGCGGCCGGCGUCCGCCUUCCACGGUCCGUCCGCCUAGCGCGGGCGGCCUUCUCAAGGUUGACCUCGGAUCAGGUAGGGAUACCCGCUGAACUUAAGCAUAUCAAUAAGCGGAGGA
rnacentral:misc_RNA from 1 species